CCACAUUCUGGAUUUGUCUGGCCAUUUUCUGCCAGUUAGAUUCAGGUUAAACAUUUCUUUUGCAAGAACACAGUUCCCUCCCACAGCAUCACACCAGGAAUGUUAUUGGUUUCCUUUUUUUAAGAACCUCUUAAUGCCUGCUCUUCCCUGUCCCACCAGCACAACAGCAGCAAUGACCACGAAACCCACAACACAGCACCCAUUUAGAAGAUGAGAGAAGAUGGUUCUUCGUGGGCAAUCCCAAUAGAAUUGAGAAGAUUUUGAAAAGGCUGAGUCAGCCCAACCACCACUGAAGCCAGUUACCAGCCUGUGUGAUCACGUGAUGUGUGACUACAUCUUGGCCUGUGAUAAACGAUCGUGUCUCUUGACCCACAGGAGUUUGUAACAUUCUUUUAGUGUAUACUGAGUCAUUACUAUUGCACUGAACCAAAGUAAAUGAAUGUCUACUGCCAUUGUCAUAGAAAAAGAGGAAAGAAGGAAGGAAGGAAGGAAGGUAGGAUCCUCUGCUCUAUGUAAACUCCCCUGAUCCUCCCAGGCGCAACUGAAGGAUUUGUGCUUUCACAAAGCUUUGCGUAGACCUGCGCCUGGUUGUGCAUUCUUUUCAGUCAGUCACUGUGGUAAGGUAGUAAUUGCAUGCCUGGGUUUAAAUAAUGAUUCAACCCUUAUCAAUUGGCCAUGUGAAUCCAGGCAAACUAUUUAAACUUUGUAAACUUCUCUUGCUAAGCCCUUAACUUUGUACUGGCCUAGCCCUAACUACUCUACACAUAUUAACUCAUUGUAUCCUUUUGACAAUGUUAUAGGAUGGUACUUCAUUAACCCCAAUUUACAACCAAGGCCAAGUAACGUCUCCAGGGUUGAUGGGUGCAUUUCCUUGUGAGGGUGAAAUGAGAUAGAUAAUCAGUGUAAAACCCUUCUUAGCACAGUGCUUGGUCCAUAGUUAGCACACCAAAUUAUAAUUUUCAUUCAUUAGUUUUUAAGAUAAAGUUUACAUAAUAUUAUAAUGUGUUAGGCGUUAUUCUAAAUGUUUUAGACAUAUCAUCUCAUUCAACUCUAUGAAGUAGGUAUAGUUUUCAUGUCCAUUUCAUAGAUGAGGAAAGUGAGGCACAGACAGGUAAGAGAUCUGCCCAAGGUCACACAGCUGUUUAGUGGUGGAGACUAAAUUGCAUCUCAGAAAGCCUGGCUCAGAGAUCGCACUCUUAGUCUUUAUAAUAAACGAUCACUAAUAUUGUUGUUUGUUUAAGUGUCUGUAGGCACCCAUUUGCCCAUGACUUUGGACAGGGACUGUUUCACAGUUUGUAAUUUCUGCAAGCCUAUAGCCCCACCCAAUCCCUGCCACCUCCCACUACCUCCACACACAGAACUGGGAGGUUCUGGGUGAAUUUGUUGUCGAAUACAUACACAUGCUAAUAGUAACAUAUGAUUUGAUGAAGAAAUUAUUAGAAAACUCGUAGAGGUGGUAAAUGUGAAAUUUGUGCUUGAAAUGAGAAAGCAAGUUAAGGAGGUACUGCUAAGCACAAUUUCAGUGAAAUGCAUGCAGGAAUUCCUGGGCAAGAAAGUCACCGACUCCUGCUGAAUCUUGGAUAGAAUGUUUUCUCCAGUGUAUAGGAGAAACUGAGUAAGUUUAGCUCCUUUAUUACAUGACCUGCUCAUGUGUAUCUACACUGACAACAAACACUUGAGCUCUUACCAUUAGCCAGAUACUAAGUUAAACCCCUUACUUGCUUUCAUAGAUACUAUAAGUAUCUAAUUUAAUCCUUUUGACAGUCAGAGGAAGGAGGUCCUAACAGUAUCCCUAUUUUACAGAUAAGUAAACUGAGUCAUGGGGCCAAUAGACUGAAGGUCACUUACUAGUUAGGUUUUUUUUUUUUUUUUUUUUGAGACAGAGUUUUGCUCUGUCACCCAGGCUGGAGUGCAGUGGCAUGAUCUCAGCUCACUGUAACCUCUUUCUCCCAGGUUCAAGUGAUUCUCCUGCCUCAGCCUCCUGAGUAGCUGGGACUGCAGGUGCACGCCACCACACCCGGCUAAUUUUUUACAUUUUUAGUAGAGAUGGGGUUUCGCCAUGUUGGCCAGGCUGGUCUUGUCUCGAAACUCCUGACGUCAAGUGAUCCGCCUGCCUCAGCCUCCCAAAGUGCUGGGGUGACAGGCGUUGAGCCACGGUGCCCGGCCAAUUAGGAUUUGAAUCUACAUCUUCAGUAGUAGAGCUCCUCUUACUGUUAAAAUGGGAGCAAUUCCAGGGGUCAGUGAAGUGAGGGACAAAUUUCUGAUAGUUUUGGUGAGUCCUAGAGUCUUGCUGGGUGCGCAUCUCUUCUUGACAAUGUUUCUCAGUUGUUGACGUCCAGCCCUCUGGUCUAUGGAGUGCAGCCAAGAAAAGGAACUCAGGGUAGAGAGAGAGCCCUAAUGGCAAGGUACUGUUUGCUUCUGAAAGCUGUUACUAAAUACAAUAGCUAUUGAAUGCACAGAACAUCUUUGGUGUAAAUACUGACUGAGACUGAGAAAGAUGUCUAAAUUUACAGUACCCAAAUCAGUUGUAUGGCUUUACUCUAAAAUCCUCCAUAUUAUAAUUUUUCUUAGUUUCUCCUUGGAUUUUAACGCUCAGAAAUCUACCAUCAUGUUGAGAUAGUGGUACAGACCAUGCCAUAAAAAUUGUCUUUGAUGCCAACGGCAGACAAAUAUGACUGUUUUUAUUGGAGGGGGAGGGAAAAUUGGCAUCAGUUAGGAAGUCACUGUGUGUUCACUAUCAAUGACUUCAGUUCCCUCUGGUUGGCUGCUUCACAAAUCCCCAAGCUCCAUGAAACAACAUAAAAAACAAUAAAAGGAAAAAAAAAGCAAGCACAGGGUGAUAAAAAGGCAUCCAGAAAGAUUUUCAUAAAUGCAACAGUACUUUAACAAAAAAAGCAAUUUCAUGUCUACUCCAGGUAGACACAUAAAAUCUUAUGAACAAGUACAAAGUCUCAUUCAUGCGGCUUUCUUGAAGAUUCUUUUAAAAAUUUUAAAGGAAAGGAGUUGGAUUGGAGGAAAGGGGGAGAAAAUGACUUUUGGGGCCAUAUGAGUUUGGAAAUCAGGGAAAAGAUUCUUUACAUCUUCCCUCUUUAAAGUGUUGUGAGUCUUGAAGCUCCCAACAUUAGUGGUGUCUAGACGGAGGUUGCCUUGUCACGGGGCUCAUUAGUAUUCAUCAUUAAUUCAUAUUUUCAAAGCAACAAAGGAGAAAACAGUAGUAGGAAGAAUAAGAAAAUGUCAAAUCCUGGGAGUAACAUUUCAGUGCAGUGUUGCAACUAAGGUUAGCGGAGGUUGUGCUGUUUAAAAAGUCAAUCCAAACACAGGGAACAGAAGCAAGCACACUCUCUCUUUCCCACUUAAUGCCAAAUGCAUUCUCCUAGGUCCCAGCCUGUCUCUUCCUAUCUGGAAGCUUCCUUGCAUCCCAGCCUCACCAACCAAGUCUCUGAGUCCCCGUUGAGAAGCCUCAUUUGGUAGUCAUGACUGCAUACAUUUAUGAAGUGUACGUUUGUGCCAGGUGCAGUGCUUAGGGAUUUACGAGGAUUAUCUCAUUUCACUUCACAACAACCCUAUGAGGUCAUGGCCACAUUAUCCCUUAUUUUACAGGCAAGGUAACUGAAGACAAAAAGGGGACGUGCCUGGCCUGGGGUCACCCAGCUGGUAAAUGUCAUGGCUGAGACUCAAACCCAGGUAAUCUGGCUCUAGAGGCUGUGUGCAUUAGUUGGGGACAUCUACCCUAAAGAGGACAUUGCUCCUCCGGCCCCAGAGACUUCCCUUCUGAAGGCUCAUUCACACCCACCCUCUUCUCCUGCUUGACAUGAGCUGGUUUGGAUUUUUGGUUAUCAGAGUAUAGAUUGAAAAAAUACCAUAUAUUUAGCAUCAUGUUUCAUGGAGCCUCCUAUCCUCACCAUGGAGGUGGAAAAUAACUUAGCCCAGUGAGGUUUUUCCUCCUACAAAUAUGAUAAUUCUCUACUUUCCUUGAUGAGUGGCUAUAUGUAAGCUUAAUAUUAAUAUAUAAGAAGCUGUAUUUUCAACUACCUUUUUAUAAAGUAUACAUAGUAGUAGGAUAUAUGUGUUCUCUAUUUUUUUUGUCGAUUCUUAUACUAGUAUAUAUUUCCACUACUCCUAACACCAUUACUCGUAACAGUUUUUCUUUACUUUUCCCAUUCUCUUAUUCUUCAUUUUAGCAAGUGCCAGCAAACUUUCCUUGGGUGCUUAUAACAUGUUAGGCUCCAGGCUAAGAACUGAGAGUACAAGGAUAAAAAGGGUAAGAUCCGUGUAUUCAGUGGGGGUUUCCCAGACAUGGGAAUUGAAAGUUAUCACAGAAAAUAAUAGCUAACAUGUAUUGACACUAUUUGCCAUUCUGACACAUACUGCAUAUGUGUCUGUUCUUAAUCUUUGGUUAGUUACUACUAUGUCCAUUUUACAGAUGAAAAAACCAAGGAAUAGAGAGGCUAAAUCACUUGCCUGCAGACUCGUAGCUAGCAAGAAGGCAGCUAGUAUUGUAGACUGAGGAAUCUUGCUACAGGGUCUGGGCUCCUAACCAGUCUGCUUCAAAAGUAAAUUACACAGACUGGGUAUGGUGGCUUACAUCUGUAAUCCCAGCACUUUUGGAGGCCAAGGUGGGAAGAUCACUUGAGGUCAGGAAUUCAAGACCAGCCUGGCCAACAUGGUGAAACCCCAUUUCUACUAAAAAUACAGAAAUUAGCUGGGUGUGGUGGUGCACACCUGUAACCCCAGCUACUCAGGAGGCUGAGGCAUGAGAGUCGCUUGAACCCAGGAGACAGAAGUGGGAGCGAGCUGAGAUCUCACCACUGCACUUCAGCCUGGGGGACAGAGUGAUUGCCUGUAUCCAAAAAAAAAAAAAAAAAAAAAAAAAAAGUAAACUACACAAUUAUAUUUAGCGAAGAGAUCACUGGACUCUGCCUGCAUGGCCCAGACACAGAUGGAGGUUGAUAUGUGAACUGGGGCUUGAGGCAUAAAGGAUAAGUAGAAGUUAACCAGGCAGGCUGGAUGCGGUGGCUCAUGCCUGUAAUUCCAGCACUUUGGGAGGCCAAGGCAGGCAGAUCACCUAAGGUCAGGAGUUUGAGACCAGCCUGGCCAACCAACGUGGUGAAACCUCAUCUCUACUAAAAAUACAAAAUUAGCCCGGUGUGGUGGUGUCACCUGUAGUCCGUGCUACUCGGGAGGCUGAGGGGGAAGAAUUGCUUGAAUCCAGGAGACAGAGGUUGCAGUAAGCCAAGAUUGUGCCACUGUACUCCAGCCUGGGUGGCAGAGCGAGACUCCUUCAAAAAAAAAAAAAAAAAAAAAAAAAAAAAGAGUUAACCAGGCAGAGAAAAUAGCAUAUUGCCUGGCAGGGAAUACAGUCCCUGUAAGGGCACAGGGGUCUGAGAAAACAAUGUAGGUAAAUAAUUUACAGAGGUUGAAUAUAGAAUGAGGAGAGUGUGGCGGCGUAAGACUGCAUGAGGUAAGGAUAGACAAAGCAUGUUGUCAUUUACAUAGAAAAGUGACUGGACUAUUUUGUGGGUAAAGGGAGUUAUAGAAGGCCCUAUGCAGGAAUGUGCACUCACUCAAUUCUGAUUAGAACAUAAUCUCCAUGGUUCAAAAUGCAAAUGAAAUCAGGGAUGUCAAUCCUUUCAGGAAAUCUUUUCUGGUAUUAGUUUUUAUUCUUUGAGUAUAUUUUUUCUUUACUUAUUUUGGGAAAUGUCUGAGUCUAUAAGAAGUAGAGUAUAGUUGAGAAAUACAAAUCUGCUUUAGGUUGUCAGUCUAAACAACAUUUUGUACUGUCUAAGCCUGUAGGAAUUAGUGCAGAUGGAAUAAGAGAUGAGGUUAGUUGUGACCUGAGUACAGAAAACAGCCUGGAAGGUUAUAGGUCCCAAUAAUCCCUUGAAAUGUGCUUUUAAAGAAAAUAAUGUGUAUCUCUUUCUCUUACAGAUAAAGUGUAGCCAAAAGACAAACAAACCUGCUUAACUGAAGAUGAUCAGUUAGGAUACAGGGAGGUGUUUUAAACAAAUGGCAGACAAAUUGAGAAAUCUGUACUUCAAGUCCAACUCAUCCUGAGAAAUGCCAGAAUUUUAGCAACAAAACAAACCCGCAAGUCUUCUUCGUUCUUGAGAGUCAUGCCGUUUUCCUCCAAACAAGGACGAAAGGCUCUUUGCUUGUGGAGUGUCUCAGUCUAGCAGUAGAUUGGAAAAAUGUCCAAGCAGGGGACUCGAGUUCUCUCCCGGAUGAGUUCAUUUCAAUAGUCACUGUGUUUCAUCGGAUGCAGCUGGUUACAUUUUUAAUAGGCAGAUGGCUAAUUUUACAGUUCCAAGCCAAUCUCUCAUUGGACAACAUCCAGAAAGCCCGUGGUAGGGUGAUGCCCAGCAGAAAGUUCAACAGGACACUUGGGGGGAACAUAUGCUAAUGUCAGCCCUUUUACUUAAAUGUCUUUAAAAAGAAUAUUCAGUGCUAAGCUGAGGGAUUUUCACAGACUCAAGCCUAACACCAGAUGGGUGGCCAGCUAUGAAGUCCUUAGGGCCUGAGCAAAUGCUCUUAAUCUGGCUUGGAUGGUCGGAGAAUCAAAUAGCACCAAACCGGUAAUCUCUGAGUGAUUUUUAAAAAUGACAAAGGUGUAUGCACUUGCAGAAAUGACCAGGCUAACUAGAGAAGCGAGUUUCUCUUAAUAGAAGCCCAUGGCGUUACUAAAGCCCUGUGGUCCUAUGAUUACCUCGGCAUCCCGACCUCCGUUUUGGGUGCCCCUCCCCAUCUGACCUUUAUGGAGUUACACGAAUGAAUGUCCGUUUACCUCCCCCCAGGUGACAGCCCCUCGCCUCCAGGGUCAGAGAGGGCGGAAUGUCUGUUGCAGUUAAGCAUCCUUAUUUUUAAACUGUUUGGAAAUCUCUCUCUCCAAGGAGAUGGCUAUUUAGACAUCUUAAUUAAAAGGGAAUUUGGAAAUAUCUCCCGUUUUGCAGCGCAUGUAAUCAAGCAUUUCUUUUUCUCUGCAGAAGGACUUUGGUUGCCUCUUCACAAAAGGCUUUGAAAUGUCCUAAAACAAUCCCCCGCAGCUCGGGGUGGGGGUAGGGGCGGGAGAGAGAGAGAGAGAGAGAGAGAGAGAGAGAGAGAGAGAGAGAGAGAGAGAAAAAAAAAACCAAAGCAAAAAACAACAAACAUUUUCUGGGAGGUGAUAAAAGUCUUGGAUGCAAAGUAUCCUUAUUUUAUCCCAUGUGAUGAAUUGCCAUAGGGUGGCUGGAAAACUCUUUAAGAACCCCAAGGGCAAAUGCCGUUGUUUAAAUGAGGCAAAUGUUGUUUACCUCUAAGCAAAAUAAAAGCUAAGGAUCAGAAGAAAGAGGGGAUCAAAAGAUCUUUCUCCAAACAGAUUUAUAAAAGAGAGUGAUUUUUAAAUGAUUUCAACUCCUACUUUAUAAAAAUAUUUUAUGAGGCACUUUUCUGAAAAUAACAUGCUUCUGAAGAGUUUUCCUCCCCAAAUCGCUUCCUGAAAAUGGUGGCAUUACUUUCAUGCAGUACAAUUGCCUACACAAGACCUUAUUUAAAACAAUGCAAAAGAAAUUUGACAAAGCUAGUAACUCUGCACAAGGAAACUGGGCAUUUUUUUUUUUUUUGCCGGGAAAAUAACCUUCAAACCUCAAACUAAAUCUGAAACUGCUUCUAUCAAAUUUUUCUUUCAAGAACCUGGAAAGCGGUUCAUUUUGUUUUUUCGAGCAGAUUGUGAAAAGAGUUUUCUUGCAGAGUUUUUGUUUUAUAAUCAAAAUAAUUCGAGGGAAGUGACAGGACUUUUCCUUUGAGAUUUUUUUUUUUUUUUCUGGACAAAAUCUAAUAGAGGGAGAGAGAGAAAAAAAUCUAACCAAAUCCAAGACUUGCAGACAAAAGUUACACACAAUCAGAAAACCCUCAAAGAUAGGUAUAAAUUAUUCUGUCACUAAAUUAAAGUAUUGGUAGAAGAAAAGUCUUAAAAAUGUAAAAUGAGUACUAGCCAAAUACCUUCACAGUUAAUGGAAUUAUGGAAACUUCUCUCUGGUGUGAAUACCCCCAAACACAUUUUAGAUUUAUUUUUAAAGUGUAGUUUAAAGAAACUUUAUACCAUUUAAAAAAAAAAUAACUUUGAAAGGAAAAGAGCCAAAAGAAAAGCAGAAAUUAGGGCAGUUUUUAAACUACAAGCCAACUGUUUGCUCUACUUUGCUUUAUUUAUUAGUUCUCAAGGUAUUUAAAACUUGAGCAUUAAAACUGCAGAAUAAUUUGCAAAUGAAUGCAGUUGCAGUUGUGAAAAUAUAACUCACAGCUGAAUGUGGGUUAUUCAGACAAAUGGCUGCUUUGUUCGAGGAGGGGAAGUAAAGUUCUGUGUUAAUUUAUUACAAACUGCAGCAUUUCAUCCCUGAUGUCCAGGCAACAAUGUUUUUUAUUUCAAGUAAUUUAUAAGCACUUCCCAGAGCACUUAGCCGUGAUGUCCUUGGCUGUUUUGCUCCCAGAGACGGAGUGUAUAUGUAUUUACUGUGGGAAUUUGUUUUUAAUAAAACUGUUGUAAGGCAUUUUUAUUCCUUUGCUUUGUUACAUUAAAAACAUUCACUGCAUAAGUAAUGUAUUUUAUUCCAAGUUGAAAGGCAGCAGAUCACAGCCGGCAACUGUAUUGGGGGGUAGAGAAUAAUGACGAGAAAAGUAAUGUUUAAAGCGAACCAGACCCUUUUCUGAGUUGCUCUAGGUGUCUCUUUGCCUCUGCAUUUAAGGGAAGCAGCAAUUAGAUGACCAAGGGCCCAGGAAAAGUAUCUAGGAGGUCCCAGGAUGCAGGCAAUCGGAGAAUGGAGAAUCAAAUAGAGAAGGGCAGACUAAGGUGCAGCGAAUGUGUGUUUGUGUGCUCCCGUGCAUGUGUGCAUAAACAUGCACACGUGUGUGUGAUCAAUGUUACCAAUUCUGAUAAGUUUUCAUGAUUCCCCUGUAUCUCCCAGAGUCAGUUCACGACCCUAGAUAAUCCAAAAUUGACCUUUAUUUCAAUGUUUAAGGAAAACAGAUGCCUUUGUAUGUACACAUAGACAAUUUUAAAAAUCAGAUUCUGUGUGGUAGGAAGAAAUUGUGGCAAGUUUUCAACUUCAAUGAGAGAAUUGUGGAGUGAUCUAAAAGUUUCAAGGGUCCUGUCCCAAGGGUAGCUGUUCUGCUGAUGCCAAGAGUCUUUCUGGGGAUCCCAGCAUUUCAGUGGCCUUUAACCAUUUUUCUUUAUCAAGGGGGAUGAGUUGGUUAAAGUCAUAGCUCAUUUGUCAACCUAUUUUAUUGAUCUAUCGUCUAUCUAUCUAUCUAAUCUCU
rnacentral:lncRNA from 1 species